UCUUAGCUCAGUUGGUAGAGCAGCGGACUCUUAAUCCGUUGGUCGAAGGUUCGAAUCCUUCAGGGCC
rnacentral:tRNA from 1 species